rnacentral:rRNA from 1 species
CCUACGGGUGGCAGCAGUGAGGAAUAUUGGUCAAUGGACGAGAGUCUGAACCAGCCAAGUAGCGUGAAGGAUGACUGCCCUAUGGGUUGUAAACUUCUUUUAUAUGGGAAUAAAAUGUUACACGUGUGGGAUUCUGUAUGUACUAUAUGAAUAAGGAUCGGCUAACUCCGUGCCAGCAGCCGCGGUAAUACGGAGGAUCCGAGCGUUAUCCGGAUUUAUUGGGUUUAAAGGGAGCGUAGGUGGAUUGUUAAGUCAGUUGUGAAAGUUUGCGGCUCAACCGUAAAAUUGCAGUUGAUACUGGCAGUCUAGAGUACAGUAGAGGUAGGCGGAAUUCGUGGUGUAGCGGUGAAAUGCUUAGAGAUCACGAAGAACACCGAUUGCGAAGGCAGCUCACUGGACUGCAACUGACACUGAGGCUCGAAAGUGUGGGUAUCAAACAGGAUUAGAUACCCUGGUAGUC